rnacentral:rRNA from 1 species
AUUGAACGCUGGCGGCAGGCCUAACACAUGCAAGUCGAGCGAGCGGCGGACGGGUGAGUAAUGUAUGGGGAUCUGCCCGAUAGAGGGGGAUAACUACUGGAAACGGUGGCUACUACCGCAUACUUUCGGUAGAACCCAUAUGGGAUUAGCUAGUAGUUGGGGUAAAGGCGCACCUAGGCGACGAUCGCUCGCUGGUCUGAGAGGAUGCUCAGCCACACUGGGACUGAGACACGGCCCAGAAUCCUACGGGAGGCAGCAGUGGGGAAUAUUGCACAAUGGGGGCAACCCUGACGCAGCCAUGCCGCGUGAAUGAAGAAGGCCUUCGGGUUGUAAAGUUCUGUCAGUAGCGAGGAGUUAACUGCAGAAGAAGUACCGGCUAAGGCCGGGCCAGCAGCCGCGGUAAUUC